rnacentral:rRNA from 1 species
ACGGAAGGCAGCAGUGAGGAAUAUUGGUCAAUGGGCGGAAGCCUGAACCAGCCAAGUCGCGUGAAGGAUGAAGGUAUUAUGUAUUGUAAACUUCUUUAGACGUAGAGAAAUAAGGGGGUCGAGACCUCUGAUGCUAGUAUACGUAGAAUAAGGAUCGGCUAACUCCGUGCCAGCAGCCGCGGUAAUACGGAGGAUCCGAGCGUUAUCCGGAUUUAUUGGGUUUAAAGGGUGCGCAGGCGGUCUUUUAAGUCAGUGGUUAAAUCGUGGAGCUUAACUCCAUCCCGCCAUUGAUACUGGAGGACUUGAUUGCGGUUGAGGUUGGCGGAAUUCGCCGUGUAGCGGUGAAAUGCAUAGAUAUGGCGAAGAACUCCGAUUGCGUAGGCAGCUGACCAAGCCGUAAAUGACGCUCAUGCACGAAAGUGCGGGGAUCGGACAGGAUUAGAUACCCUGGUA